ACGGUCUUGACUGGGGCCGGAACAAGACAC
rnacentral:piRNA from 1 species